GACUAGUAAAAAAACAAACAUCCUUUGACAACAAGUUUCUAAUUAAAUCAUGGCUGCGCCUGGGCAGCGUUAUUAUGAGAGUGAAAGUGGACGUGCUGCUACUCCCCUCAUUCGCAACAUGUAUCAAGUACCUGCAUUGAGUAAUGCAAGAGUGAGAUGACACAUCUUAGCAAGUAAAAUAAUAACAAACUGUUUAACCACAUAAGAACAUUGUUUUACCACCACUUGAUUUCACAACCUUCUUAUUACGAAGGUGCAGCACGAAUACAACGUACAACACAUCUAGUUACCACACCUCGCAGGUAGAAACCGCAAUAGUAACAUAGUAAUGUCACACUUCAUAUAUACCUCAUGAGUGCAAAUGUCUGCAAAUGCAAUGAUGACUUCUGCCUUCAUACCUCUAAGGAUAUGAAGCCGCAUCGUACCCCUCCUCGGGCAACGUACGAUGCUAAAAGUGUACCGGUACGGUCGGACCAUAAGAUCACAACAUAACUUCAAAAUGCAAGAUGGAUGAUGCGAUGUGCUUGACAUGCCUACAUCACUUCAUACAACGUGAUUCAAAAAGAUAUUUCAACUUCAUCCAAGAUGGGAAUCAACCACAUAUAUCAUUCCCAAAUCAUGAUCAUCCGCAAUAUUAGACAAUUAAGAAUUAAUUCUUUCGAACAAAUAAACUUCAUCAUAGAAUUUAAUGAUUAACACAUUUAAUACUUAUGCAUACUCAAUGAAAAGGCAUAGGAUGCAAACCAAACGGUAGCAACCACCACUGUAUUACUUGCCUUCACCGGAAAUUUGGAAUGGUGCUAAGUACGAUCCAGAAGUCCACCACCUGUUUUUGACACACACCUUAGUGCACAGAUCAACAUAACAAACGCUACUAAACAACGCCGCACCUACGCACAAUUCCAACCCGUCGCGAGCGACAACUCUCCCCAUCACCACCAAACUGCAGCGGCGCUGCUUGAUAAUUUCAUAACUUUAAAAUUAUAACAGCAAUGAUAUCAAUCAAAAACUCUGAAAGCAUCUACAUAAAAUUCCCCACAGGUUUUAUAUUCAAAUGAUAAUUAAAUUCCAACAUUUAAUUAGCCCAAACCCGUCUACAAGAUACACCCUGCAAUCUGUUUUUGGACAGCAACAUAACCGGAUUCAAACAGCGAUAUCUCCUAAAUUAUAACUCCGAAUCGAACGCAUAAGUACUCGUUGGAAAGGUAAGACAAGGCUCUACAUGAUUCUCAUAUUGAUUAUCACUAAUUUCCCACGAAAAAUCCCCAGAAACUGCUAAUACUACUGCUGUUUGCCCACCUGCAGAAAUCUGUUUUUUUGGACAGCGACAUACCCGGAUGCAAACCGCGAUAUCUCCUAAAAUAUAACUCCGAAUCGAGCGCAUAAGUACUCGUUGGAAAGGUAUGACAAAGCUAUACAUGAUUCUCCCACUGAUCCCCACUAAUAACCCACGAAAAACUCCCAGAAAUCACUUGAACUACUGGUGUUCGCCCACCCACAAAAUUUCCGGACAGCUCAUCUACCGUUUCGCAUGGGUAAACAUAUAAUCAAUUUGAUUGCAGCACAUAAACAACAAAAGAUAAUCACAAAGUCACCUUGGGUUCCUCCUUUCCUCCUUCCUUCCUCCCACCAAUUCUCCAAUCGGAACUUGCACCCACACGAAGAAGAUCCGGCGAGGAAGGACAUCACUUGGAGAGGAGGAGAUGGGAGGGGGGGUGGCGGCUAGGGUUGAGGGGAUGGGGGGGCGGCUGCACAAGAGAGAGGGAAUUAGGGGGAGGGGAUGGCGGCCAAAGGCUAGAGAGG
rnacentral:lncRNA from 1 species